CAGCAGCCGCGGUAAUACGUAGGUGGCAAGCGUUGUCCGGAAUUAUUGGGCGUAAAGGGCUCGCAGGCGGUUUCUUAAGUCUGAUGUGAAAGCCCCCGGCUCAACCGGGGAGGGUCAUUGGAAACUGGGAAACUUGAGUGCAGAAGAGGAGAGUGGAAUUCCACGUGUAGCGGUGAAAUGCGUGGAGAUGUGGAGGAACACCAGUGGCGAAGGCGACUCUCUGGUCUGUAACUGACGCUGAGGAGCGAAAGCGUGGGGAGCGAACAAGAUUAGAUACCCCGGUAGUCCCUGUCUCUUAUAC
rnacentral:rRNA from 1 species